CUUGCAACCACUGGAAAGUGACCGGCAGACAUUCACUCCCGACUGUAAUGCGUGCCACCGAUGAAUCUUCGAAAAGGUGGCUGGCCCGACUCAGUUAAUUACGGUGAAUGUAUGAAAAGAUGACUCACCCCGUUGAUGUGUCGACAGGGCGGCAGUGAAGUUUUCCCAGCAAAACGUCUAAAAUUCGAUGCAGCGCCAGAAUGGUCCUUACAGACAAGAAGAUGCAGCAGAGGAAAUAAGGAAGCGAUACAAAGAUACCUCUCUUGUUAUUUUCAUGGAGCAGCAGAAACUUUCCCAGCAGGAGAACAACUUUUUGUCUUUUGGUACAAGCCGACGCACAGCUGAACACAGUAAUUAUGGAAACCAUGCUGUUAUUGUCAAACAGCCUUUCAGUGCUGAUCAUAAAACACAGAUGUGUGCACUUCUAUGAAAUAAAAAUAGUACCAAGAAAACCAUCAGUGAAGAGAAAAAGUCUACAAUAAACACUUUACAAUUACAGAACAUGGAGUAUAACACGAUAAUAAUGCUACAGUAUUGCAAAAUGGACUUACGUUUCAACAAAUAAAACAAACAUUUUUGUGAACACGUGGUCAUUAUUUGGUACAGAAUUUACCAAAUAAGGUGGAAUCAUCAUAAAGUAGGAGUGCAAUUACAAAUCUCCAUGUAGUCCUCUGAAUUUAGUAUUGCUGUGGUUUCUGUAAUGGGAUCCAAGCAAAUUUCAGUAUGAUUCCCUCUACAAGACUAUUACCUACUCAUUUCCUCCUGCAUCCUUGUCCUUAAUUUCAGUGGGGCACUGAACUGUAACUUUUUAUUGCACGUAAAGUUAUACACCACGUUAAAUAAAAGUGCUGCAAGAUGCAUCUCUUUUAUUGAUAUGUUAUGACUAUUUCAAAUUUGUGCCAGUAAAGAUAGCAUUAAUUUCACUGCGGUGAAUUUAUUUCUAUUUUUUCACCUGUUUUACUUCAAACGGCAAUCCAGUUUAUGUGUCUGAUGUAAUUUAUUUGUAAUUAUACAUUUUCUUUGUAACUGUAAGUUACAACAGUAAGUAUUAUACAUACCUAAUAAAGGCUUGUAAACAGAGA